rnacentral:rRNA from 1 species
UACGUAGGGUGCAAGCGUUAAUCGGAAUUACUGGGCGUAAAGGGCUCGUAGGCGGCCAACUAAGUCGGAUGUGAAAUCCCCAGGCUUAACCUGGGAACUGCAUCCGAUACUGGAUGGCUUGAAUCCGGGAGAGGGAUGCAGAAUUCCAGGUGUAGCGGUGAAAUGCGUAGAUAUCUGGAGGAACACCGGUGGCGAGGGCGGCAUCCUGGACCGGUAUUGACGCUGAGGAGCGAAAGCCAGGGGAGCAAACGGG